AAUCUGCGAUAAGCGUCGGUAAGGUGAUAUGAACCGUUAUAACCGGCGAUUUCCGAAUGGGGAAACCCAGUGUGUUUCGACACACUAUCAUUAACUGAAUCCAUAGGUUAAUGAGGCGAACCGGGGGAACUGAAACAUCUAAGUACCCCGAGGAAAAGAAAUCAACCGAGAUUCCCCCAGUAGCGGCGAGCGAACGGGGAGCAGCCCAGAGCCUGAAUCAGUGUGUGUGUUAGUGGAAGCGUCUGGAAAGGCGCGCGAUACAGGGUGACAGCCCCGUACACAAAAAUGCACAUGCUGUGAGCUCGAUGAGUAGGGCGGGACACGUGGUAUCCUGUCUGAAUAUGGGGGGACCAUCCUCCAAGGCUAAAUACUCCUGACUGACCGAUAGUGAACCAGUACCGUGAGGGAAAGGCGAAAAGAACCCCGGCGAGGGGAGUGAAAAAGAACCUGAAACCGUGUACGUACAAGCAGUGGGAGCACGCUUAGGCGUGUGACUGCGUACCUUUUGUAUAAUGGGUCAGCGACUUAUAUUCUGUAGCAAGGUUAACCGAAUAGGGGAGCCGAAGGGAAACCGAGUCUUAACUGGGCGUUAAGUUGCAGGGUAUAGACCCGAAACCCGGUGAUCUAGCCAUGGGCAGGUUGAAGGUUGGGUAACACUAACUGGAGGACCGAACCGACUAAUGUUGAAAAAUUAGCGGAUGACUUGUGGCUGGGGGUGAAAGGCCAAUCAAACCGGGAGAUAGCUGGUUCUCCCCGAAAGCUAUUUAGGUAGCGCCUCGUGAAUUCAUCUCCGGGGGUAGAGCACUGUUUCGGCAAGGGGGUCAUCCCGACUUACCAACCCGAUGCAAACUGCGAAUACCGGAGAAUGUUAUCACGGGAGACACACGGCGGGUGCUAACGUCCGUCGUGAAGAGGGAAACAACCCAGACCGCCAGCUAAGGUCCCAAAGUCAUGGUUAAGUGGGAAACGAUGUGGGAAGGCCCAGACAGCCAGGAUGUUGGCUUAGAAGCAGCCAUCAUUUAAAGAAAGCGUAAUAGCUCACUGGUCGAGUCGGCCUGCGCGGAAGAUGUAACGGGGCUAAACCAUGCACCGAAGCUGCGGCAGCGACGCUUAUGCGUUGUUGGGUAGGGGAGCGUUCUGUAAGCCUGUGAAGGUGUGCUGUGAGGCAUGCUGGAGGUAUCAGAAGUGCGAAUGCUGACAUAAGUAACGAUAAAGCGGGUGAAAAGCCCGCUCGCCGGAAGACCAAGGGUUCCUGUCCAACGUUAAUCGGGGCAGGGUGAGUCGACCCCUAAGGCGAGGCCGAAAGGCGUAGUCGAUGGGAAACAGGUUAAUAUUCCUGUACUUGGUGUUACUGCGAAGGGGGGACGGAGAAGGCUAUGUUGGCCGGGCGACGGUUGUCCCGGUUUAAGCGUGUAGGCUGGUUUUCCAGGCAAAUCCGGAAAAUCAAGGCUGAGGCGUGAUGACGAGGUACUACGGUGCUGAAGCAACAAAUGCCCUGCUUCCAGGAAAAGCCUCUAAGCAUCAGGUAACAUCAAAUCGUACCCCAAACCGACACAGGUGGUCAGGUAGAGAAUACCAAGGCGCUUGAGAGAACUCGGGUGAAGGAACUAGGCAAAAUGGUGCCGUAACUUCGGGAGAAGGCACGCUGAUAUGUAGGUGAAGUCCCUUGCGGAUGGAGCUGAAAUCAGUCGAAGAUACCAGCUGGCUGCAACUGUUUAUUAAAAACACAGCACUGUGCAAACACGAAAGUGGACGUAUACGGUGUGACGCCUGCCCGGUGCCGGAAGGUUAAUUGAUGGGGUUAGCGGUAACGCGAAGCUCUUGAUCGAAGCCCCGGUAAACGGCGGCCGUAACUAUAACGGUCCUAAGGUAGCGAAAUUCCUUGUCGGGUAAGUUCCGACCUGCACGAAUGGCGUAAUGAUGGCCAGGCUGUCUCCACCCGAGACUCAGUGAAAUUGAACUCGCUGUGAAGAUGCAGUGUACCCGCGGCAAGACGGAAAGACCCCGUGAACCUUUACUAUAGCUUGACACUGAACAUUGAGCCUUGAUGUGUAGGAUAGGUGGGAGGCUUUGAAGUGUGGACGCCAGUCUGCAUGGAGCCGACCUUGAAAUACCACCCUUUAAUGUUUGAUGUUCUAACGUUGACCCGUAAUCCGGGUUGCGGACAGUGUCUGGUGGGUAGUUUGACUGGGGCGGUCUCCUCCUAAAGAGUAACGGAGGAGCACGAAGGUUGGCUAAUCCUGGUCGGACAUCAGGAGGUUAGUGCAAUGGCAUAAGCCAGCUUGACUGCGAGCGUGACGGCGCGAGCAGGUGCGAAAGCAGGUCAUAGUGAUCCGGUGGUUCUGAAUGGAAGGGCCAUCGCUCAACGGAUAAAAGGUACUCCGGGGAUAACAGGCUGAUACCGCCCAAGAGUUCAUAUCGACGGCGGUGUUUGGCACCUCGAUGUCGGCUCAUCACAUCCUGGGGCUGAAGUAGGUCCCAAGGGUAUGGCUGUUCGCCAUUUAAAGUGGUACGCGAGCUGGGUUUAGAACGUCGUGAGACAGUUCGGUCCCUAUCUGCCGUGGGCGCUGGAGAACUGAGGGGGGCUGCUCCUAGUACGAGAGGACCGGAGUGGACGCAUCACUGGUGUUCGGGUUGUCAUGCCAAUGGCACUGCCCGGUAGCUAAAUGCGGAAGAGAUAAGUGCUGAAAGCAUCUAAGCACGAAACUUGCCCCGAGAUGAGUUCUCCCUGACUCCUUGAGAGUCCUGAAGGAACGUUGAAGACGACGACGUUGAUAGGCCGGGUGUGUAAGCGCAGCGAUGCGUUGAGCUAACCGGUACUAAUGAACCGUGAGGCUUAACC
rnacentral:rRNA from 1 species